UAAAAGGAGAAGCCAACGUUUCCAACUCACCCGUUCUCGACAACACGGUGUUUCUGUUUACUGCGGAAACUUCAACUCGUUCGAUCUCCAAAUCUAAGUAUUCGAUUCGUCAAAAAAAAUUAAUUCCGCGUUGGGCGUGAUUCGUCGAUAACUAUCGUUCUCGUUCGAUUCGGGAACAUGUUUUCCAAUAAGAUCGACUUGAGAAAUCUUAUCGGGAUAUCAUCUCUUUCAAGGAUCACGGACUUCUGACUUUCUUCGGAGAUUUGUUCGGAGUAAGUUAUUCUGAAAUUGUGGAUUAUUUCUUCUGCUCGAAGGUCGGAGAAAAGCUCCGAUCUGAGAAAUGAUUACUCGUGCUAAGCUCGUCGAGCAACUCAGAGAUUAUAACCUUCGGUCACAGCAAAAGCGUGCGGCCCUUGUAAUAUUCUCUCCAAAACAUCAAAUCACAACCAGGACCGAUGAAAUUGUGGCUUACUUCUUUGCUGUACUGUUCAGUCUUCUUGUAGUGUCGUCCUAUGUGACACUUUACUUCAGACACUUCCAUCUUGCAGUUAUUGUUAUAUUCCUUGGUAUCCUUCUUCCCAUAUCCCUGAGAAUUUCUAGACAUAGAAGUUCGCUUAGAAGGAAAAAGGAGAGAAGAAUGUUGCUACCUCUUUCUAUGUGAUGAUUUCCGCUAGUAACCCCAUUAUGGAGAUCCCCAUGUUUUCCAGCCUAACAACUUCUGUGAACAUAAGAUUACUGUUUCCUUUUUUUUUACUUGUUGAUUGUACCUUAGCACCCAGGAGGUUGGAGGAAUGGUCUUAGUCAGCCAUGACAGUAAUGGGCCUUCCUUUUGGAGUGGUGGUCUGAUCUUAUUGUUCAGUCUUCACUGUGUAGACACGAAAGCUGCGAGAAUCUGCCAGGGGACUCCUCAUUGAAACACCACACACUGGGGCUUAGCUAAAAUGUCUACCAACUUAAAUGUUUUUUUCUGUUGGAUUGUAAAUUUCACCCAGGCUUGGUAAAUGGAUACUACACUCAAAUGUCUCUUAUAAAAUGAGUUACUAGGUGC